AGCUCCAAUAGCGUAUAUUUAAGUUGUUGCAGUUAAAAAGCUCGUAGUUGGAUUUCGGGCGGGUUCCUUCGGUCCGCCGAUCGGUGGCACUGUUGGAGCCUGUCUUGCUGUCGGGGACGGGCUCCUGGGCUUAAUUGUCCGGGACCCGGAGUCGACGAGGUUACUUUGAGUAAAUUAGAGUGUUCAAAGCAAGCCUACGCUCUGAAUACAUUAGCAUGGAAUAACACGAUAGGACUCUGGCCUAUCU
rnacentral:rRNA from 1 species